rnacentral:rRNA from 1 species
UGAGGAAUAUUGGUCAAUGGACGAGAGUCUGAACCAGCCAAGUAGCGUGAAGGAUGAAGGCUCUAUGGGUCGUAAACUUCUUUUAUAUGGGAAUAAAGUGAGCCACGUGUGGCUUUUUGUAUGUACCAUAUGAAUAAGGACCGGCUAACUCCGUGCCAGCAGCCGCGGUAAUACGGAGGGUGCAAGCGUUGUCCGGAAUCAUUGGGCGUAAAGAGUUCGUAGGUGGUAUGUUAAGUCUGGUGUUAAAGCCCGAAGCUCAACUUCGGUUCGGCACUGGAUACUGGCAAACUUGAAUGUGGUAGAGGUAAAGGGAAUUCCUGGUGUAGCGGUGAAAUGCGUAGAUAUCAGGAGGAACAUCGGUGGCGUAAGCGCUUUACUGGGCCAUAAUUGACACUGGGGAACGAAAGCCGGGGUAGCAAAUG